rnacentral:rRNA from 1 species
AGAGUUUGAUCCUGGCUCAGGACGAACGCUGGCGGCGUGCUUAACACAUGCAAGUCGAGCGGAAAGGCCCUUCGGGGUACUCGAGCGGCGAACGGGUGAGUAACACGUGAGUAACCUGCCCUUCACUUUGGGAUAACCCUCGGAAACGGGGGCUAAUACCGGAUACGACAUUCUGACGCAUGUCAUGGGUGUGGAAAGAUUUUUUGGUGGGGGAUGGGCUCGCGGCCUAUCAGCUUGUUGGUGGGGUGAUGGCCUACCAAGGCGACGACGGGUAGCCGGCCUGAGAGGGCGACCGGCCACACUGGGACUGAGACACGGCCCAGACUCCUACGGGAGGCAGCAGUGGGGAAUAUUGCACAAUGGGCGGAAGCCUGAUGCAGCGACGCCGCGUGAGGGAUGACGGCCUUCGGGUUGUAAACCUCUUUCAGCACCGACGAAGCGAGAGUGACGGUAGGUGCAGAAGAAGCGCCGGCCAACUACGUGCCAGCAGCCGCGGUAAGACGUAGGGCGCGAGCGUUGUCCGGAUUUAUUGGGCGUAAAGAGCUCGUAGGCGGCUUGUCGCGUCGUCCGUGAAAACCCACAGUUCAACUGUGGGCUUGCGGUCGAUACGGGCAGGCUGGAGUUCGGUAGGGGAGACUGGAAUUCCUGGUGUAGCGGUGAAAUGCGCAGAUAUCAGGAGGAACACCGGUGGCGAAGGCGGGUCUCUGGGCCGAUACUGACGCUGAGGAGCGAAAGCGUGGGGAGCGAACAGGAUUAGAUACCCCCGUAGUCC